rnacentral:rRNA from 1 species
GAUGAACGCUAGCGGGAGGCUUAACACAUGCAAGUCGAGGGGCAGCAUAGGGUAGCAAUACUCUGAUGGCGACCGGCAAACGGGUGAGUAACGCGUAUGCAACCUACCCUGUACAGGGGGAUAACCCGGAGAAAUUCGGACUAAUAUCCCGUAAUAAUAUCCGGAGGCAUCUUUGGAUAUUUAAAGUUCCGACGGUACGGGAUGGGCAUGCGUAACAUUAACUGGUUGGUAAGGUAACGGCUUACCAAGGCUAUGAUGUUUAGGGGUCCUGAGAGGGUGGUCCCCCACACUGGUACUGAGACACGGACCAGACUCCUACGGGAGGCAGCAGUGAGGAAUAUUGGUCAAUGGGCCAAGCCUGAACCAGCCAUCCCGCGUGCAGGAAGACGGCCCUAUGGGUUGUAAACUGCUUUUCCAGGGAGAGAAACUUACGCACGUGUUGCGUGACUGACGGUACCCUGGGAAUAAGCAUCGGCUAACUCCGUGCCAGCAGCCGCGGUAAUCA